rnacentral:lncRNA from 1 species
AGAACCGAAAGCUGAGGUGGCAAAGUUCCUGACUGGGUGACAGGAAGAGGUCGGUGGGUCUGGUUGAGCCCUUGUUUCCAGAAAGGAGAUUAGGAAAACGAAAAAAAGGUUCUUGCAUACCAACAUCCCCUCCGCCACCUCUCCUGCUCCACGUCCUUCCUUUCGGGAGGAGGGGAACAAAAAAAAAAGGGUAUGUUAAAAAAAAAAUUUUUUUUUUUUAAAAAAGGGUAUGUUCAAGAUGACCUUUUAUGUAUUUAUUUGGUUUUGUUUUAUGUUUUUGUUUUUGGUACCGGGGGAUCGAACUCAGGACCUUGUGCUCGUGAGGCAGACCCGGUGCCACUGAGCUAAAUCCCCGGCCCUCAUCUGGGUUUUUUGAGACAGUCUCACUAGUACGCUGUUCACUGGCCUUGAACUCACUGUGUGGCCCGCACAGUCCUGGAACUCGUGUUCCUUCUUCCUCAGCCUCCCAGGUGGACUGGACACUUAUACAUCCUGGGCUCUGAUUGAGCACUGUACUACUGUACACCAUCGCACUGUACAGUAAGAACACAGCACCACAACUGUGACAACAUCUGGCAGACAUGGGAGCUAUUUCCACAGUUCUACGUAUAGAUUUCUGGGCCUCCAGCUUUAUUCAGAAGGCUAUUUACUCCUCACCUUAAACAUGCCCUGGACUUUAACUUCCAUGCUGAAUGAAGAAGCUAAAAGGUCUUAAAAGCAAAGAUUCACAUUCUUUAAGAUUUAGUACAAAUACUGGGCAUGGUGGCCCAUGCCUGUAAUCCCAGCAUUUGGGAGGCUGAAGCAGGAGGAUUGCUGUGAGUUCGAGGCCAGUUUUGAAAAGUCUACAUAGUGAGGCCUUUCUCAAAAAAAAAAAAAAUUAGUAGAAACCUUCAGUGCAAAUACUGGCAUUAGCACAUUCUUAAUUUUCAGGAUCUCUGAGUUCACUUUGUUUAGAGGCUUCUGCAAAAUUAUUAUUUUCCUACUGCUCAGUAAUGCAUUUUAAAUUACUUUAUAUCCCUUACUGUGUUUAGUUUGGAGGGUUAUUCAGGGUAUCUAAUUGACAACACUGUCUGAAACAGAAUUCUGCAUUUGCUUAACCUAUGACAUAAAGAUGUUGACC